AGGUAAGCUACUAAGAGCGAAUGGUGGAUGCCUUGACUGGUAAAGGCGAUGAAGGACGUACUAGACUGCGAUAAGCUACGGGGAGCUGUCAAGAAGCUUUGAUCCGUAGAUUUCCGAAUGGGUCAACCCAAUGUAUAGAGAUAUACAUUACCUAUAUAGGAGCGAACGAGGGGAAUUGAAACAUCUUAGUACCCUCAGGAAAAGAAAUCAAUAGAGAUUGCGUCAGUAGCGGCGAGCGAAAGCGCAAGAGGGCAAACCCAGUGCUUGCACUGGGGGUUGUAGGACUGCAAUGUGCAAGAGGUAAGUUUAGCAGAACAUUCUGGAAAGUAUAACCAUAGAGGGUGAUAGUCCCGUAUGCGAAAAACAAACCUUAGCUAGCAGUAUCCUGAGUAGGGCGGGACACGAGGAAUCCUGUCUGAAUCCGGGUCGACCACGAUCCAACCCUAAAUACUAAUACCAGAUCGAUAGUGCACAAGUACCGUGAGGGAAAGGUGAAAAGAACUGAGGUGAUCAGAGUGAAAUAGAACCUGAAACCAUUUGCUUACAAUCAUUCAGAGCCCUAUGUAGCAAUACAGGGUGAUGGACUGCCUUUUGCAUAAUGAGCCUGCGAGUUGUGGUGUCUGGCAAGGUUAAGCAAACGCGAAGCCGUAGCGAAAGCGAGUCUGAAUAGGGCGCUUAGUCAGAUGCUGCAGACCCGAAACGAAGUGAUCUAUCCAUGAGCAAGUUGAAGCUAGUGUAAGAACUAGUGGAGGACUGAACCCAUAGGCGUUGAAAAGCCCCGGGAUGACUUGUGGAUAGGGGUGAAAGGCCAAUCAAACUUCGUGAUAGCUGGUUCUCUCCGAAAUAUAUUUAGGUAUAGCGUUGUGUCGUAAUAUAAGGGGGUAGAGCACUGAAUGGGCUAGGGCAUACACCAAUGUACCAAACCCUAUCAAACUCCGAAUACCUUAUAUGUAAUCACAGCAGUCAGGCGGCGAGUGAUAAAAUCCGUCGUCAAGAGGGAAACAACCCAGACUACCAGCUAAGGUCCCUAAAUCUUACUUAAGUGGAAAACGAUGUGAAGUUACUUAAACAACCAGGAGGUUGGCUUAGAAGCAGCCAUCCUUUAAAGAAAGCGUAAUAGCUCACUGGUCUAGUGAUUUUGCGCGGAAAAUAUAACGGGGCUAAAGUAAGUACCGAAGCUGUAGACUUAGUUUACUAAGUGGUAGGAGAGCGUUCUAUUUGCGUCGAAGGUAUACCGGUAAGGAGUGCUGGAGCGAAUAGAAGUGAGCAUGCAGGCAUGAGUAGCGAUAAUUA
rnacentral:rRNA from 1 species